rnacentral:rRNA from 1 species
AUUGACCUACGGGACGCAGCAGUGGGGAAUAUUGCACAAUGGGGGAAACCCUGAUGCAGCAACGCCGCGUGAGUGAAGAAGUAUUUCGGUAUGUAAAGCUCUAUCAGCAGGGAAGAAAAAAGACGGUACCUGACUAAGAAGCCCCGGCUAACUACGUGCCAGCAGCCGCGGUAAUACGUAGGGAGCGAGCGUUGUCCGGAUUUACUGGGUGUAAAGGGCGUGCAGCCGGGAGUACAAGUCAGAUGUGAAAUCCCGCGGCUCAACCGCGGAACUGCAUUUGAAACUGUAUUUCUUGAGUACUGGAG